GCGGGAGCCAGAGCUGCCGGGCGGAGCGGCAUCCGCGCCAGACUGGAGCGGGAGGGCGGUGGAGGGCAGUUGCUGGGAAUUUUUCAGCCGAGAGGGCUAGCGAUCCGGAGAGAGACCCCGCGAGCUUGGGAGCGGUAGGGAGCGCGAGCGCCGCAGCCAGCGGAGCAAACCUCUAAAUAGAUCUGGAAAGCCAGGCUCCCGGAGGAAAUGGGACUGUGAACGAACCGGAGAGCAAGAAGGGAAGGAAGCGCCGGGAUUGCUGAUGUCAGAGGAGCCCGGAAAGUCGCGCUGGAAAAAUCUGAAGACAGCCGGGGCUCUGCUUCUUCCCCACGAGAGACACCGCCGGUCGCCCCCACACGCCCCCUCGGCGCCUCCGGGUGCCCCCCGCGAGCCGGCGACAGCGCCCAGCAGGGCUGCUGCGGGGCGACGGAGGACUGAGGGGCGCGCGGAGCGGUGACCGAGGGGCGACUUCAGGAAUACAGAUAAGUGUCUGGUGGCUUGACGUGGAUUUUAAUGAAUUUGGACUCUAUGUGGAUUUGGUCGUGUCCCUGAUUCCGAGCUGCGGGCAGGGAGAGGGGCCUCGCGCCGCCCUCAGCAGCCGGCGGCUGAGGUACACGGAGCGGGGACGGAAGGACAGACCGACGUCGCCGAGCUGGGUGCCUGGAUAAACCAGCAAGAGCAACACAAGUGGUCCUAAAUCACCCAAGGGCCAUGAGAGGUGGGUGGCCUGAAAUCGUGGGACCACUGAUAGAACUGGUGGGAAUGACAACUCAAGACCUCAGGUCAGCACGGGGAGAAGGUGGGACUAGCAGCACCCUGUUUGCUUCUUCCGAGAGGACUGGGUCUGGGGAGGCGGGUGCUGGGUCACCAUGUUCUGCUGCACAAUGAUCACCGCUCUCUUGAGCUAAAACAGAACCCUCAGAAUUUGUCACCAUC
rnacentral:sRNA from 1 species